AGUGAAUAGAUACCCAGGUAGUCCACGCCCUAAACGAUGUGCACUAGCUUCGGGGACUUCUGACGGUUCCCGGGGCGUAGGGAAAAACUGUUAAAGUGCACCGCCUGGGAAGUACGGCCGCAAGGCUAAAACUCGAAGGAAUUGACGGGGGCUCACACAAGCGGUGGAGCAUGUGGCUCAAUUCGAGGCAACGCGAAGAACCUUACCUGGGUUUGACAUGUACGGAUGCCGUCUUGGAAACAGGAGCCGGCUGCCUUCGGGUGAAACGUGCACAGGUGCUGCAUGGCUGUCGUCAGCUCGUGCCGUGAGGUGUUGGGUUAAGUCCCGUAACGAGCGAAACCCCUGUCGUUAGUUGCCAGCGGGUCAAGCCGGGCACUCUAACGAGACUGCCGGCGUCAAGCCGGAGGAAGGCGGGGAUGACGUCAAGUCCUCAUGGCCCUUAUGCCCAGGGAUGCACACGUGCUACAAUGCGCGGUACAAACCGAUGCGAGACCGCGAGGUGGAGCAAAUCGGAGAAAACCGCGCCCAGUUCAGAUUGCAGU
rnacentral:rRNA from 1 species